CAUGCUAUCAUCAACACAUUCCAUGGAUUCCAGGUGACAGGUGAGCAAUGGCAUGUGGAAUCCUGGAGGACUUUGACAUAUCUGCUGAAUAUAACAGAGAAGGGUUCAUCAGUUGACAUAGUGCAGCCACUAUCCAUCAGUGAUCUGCUAGGAAGUGUGGACCUCACCAAGUUCUACCGCUACCAGGGUUCUCUGACCACCCCCACCUGUGAUGAAAUGGACCAUGUUCUUAGAGCCAAUCAAGAUGUGGAGAGAUCUAGUGAGUGGUAACCUAACAUAGCAGGCAUAAAAGAAAAGCCUGAGCGGAGCUGGAAGAAACAGGAAGCAUCCGGUUUGAGUCUUCACCUCUGCUUCCUGAAAAACGUAUGCUUACGGUUUCCUACAACCUCGCUGAGGGUGGAGCUGUUUUCCUAAAACCCUGAAGUACAGAAACAUCUCCAGGCCAGUGCAACACUUCCCCGGGUUGUCAGUGUCCCCACGCAGCGGCCAGACUUCCAGCAGGAGGGCUCUUGUCCGGCCUACAACUACUACUACUGGGCUGGGGGUGAGGCUGGACACCCAGGGGGAGGCGUUGGUACGCAGAAAUAAGGGGUGGAGCGAAAGCAGGAGGGGGAAAAAGGAAGAGGGUGGGGGAAAAUAAGUUGAAGUGUGUGUGAUGUUCAAGGCAGGUCAAUUUCAGCUGAUUUCUGUCAAUAAUAAAUAUUCUGUAUGUUCCCUC